CUCAGAGGGGAAGCCAUGGUGGUGCCGGAGGAGGAGGGGACACAUCUGUGAUAAGAAUCUGCCCACCAACCUAACAAGAAAGUUGCAAAGCGCCUGCAUCUCUUCCUGUCUGGCUCUUGAAGAUUGUUGCAAAUGGAAAGUCUUCUAAUAUCUGAGAAUUACAGAAUCAGGUUUGCCCUGGGCCACGGCAUAGAAGUAAGUACCGUCUUCACAAAAGAAAACGCAAGGAACGGGCUGCACCUAAGUCUCCAGGGACACCACUGCUGCACACAACCACACAGACAAAUCUCAGGGGGACCCGCGACCUUAAUCAUAUUCCUGAAAAGAGAGCUAUUGGCCAAACCCUCCCCACCCACUGGGAUUUACCUCUGAGUAAAUACUGAACUACAAAGAAUCUUCAGUGGACAAACUUAGGGUCAACAUCCUAUUUUGAGUGAAAUGUGCCUGGGGGGGGUGGUCUGAUCCUGCCAAAGGUACCAUUUUCCAUGAAUAGGCACAUCAGCGUUAACAGAAACCUACUAUAAAUUCAAAUAUACUUGUGGAGCACAGUGCGAACUUGGCUUUGUUCUCCCUAGUUUCACACGGUCGUUUAAAAUAACAUUCCAGUGUUAUUCUGUGGUAUUUCCAAAAAAAGGUAAAAUUCAAAUGUAUUUUCCGGUUGGGACCGCGUGUCGCUGUUAGUGACAGGUCAGUCGGCCACAUUUUAGCUUGAUGGUGUAUUAAUCCAGCCCUUCUGGUUAGUUUGCUAUACCAACCCUGAAAACUGGAUUAAUUGAGUAAACCAGGACAAGCAUGUUGUGCAAAUACAGCCGAGGGAUUCUAUUAUUAGCCCCAGGUUUCUGCAAGGUGCACAUUUGUGUUAAUUUUUAAAACCUGCUUUAACACUCUUUGUAGGGGCGGCCCCUUCUCCCAGCUUCUCUGCCUCUCGGUCUCUGGCUAGGAAAAGGAAAUAUUUCGAUUGCUGAAGGGCUCGAUGCCGGAUAGAGAUGUUACAGAACAAUCAUCUCCAAACACAGCGUUCCUUCACCCAGGGUAAUCCCCUUUAAAAUGGUGAGUCUUGGAAUAAUAAAUCUGGAAACAAUGAG